rnacentral:lncRNA from 1 species
ACCACCAAGCAGAACUAGAAGUUGGCCUGAUAGAAAAAAAAUGCCUAAUAUGGACCGAUACUCGUUCCAAAUCAGCUUCCAAAAGAUUGUUCAUCACUUUUUAAUCACUCCGAACGUGCUUUGUGCCAGGCGAUUUUGUGAUUUUGUGACAGCAAGAGCCUCUCUCUUUUGGGGUGGGAGAUGGGGGUAAAAAUGAGGCUUUUUUCAGUUGCUUCUUGAUAACCCCUCACCUCCCACAUUUUCUCUUUGAGAAUCUCGAUACUAAAUUAGUUGCAUGCAACAGUCACGUUCAUUCAUUAGUUUCUGAACUUUUUUUCUUUUUGAGAGGAAUCAAUCUUUUCAAUUACUGAUCAUUACAGUGCCAUUAGAAGGAACUUUCAGGCUUCGUAGAGAUAUGGGCAAAGAUUAAAGGUCUGUCCAAAGAUACAGUGCAAAUGUUAUGAAGAUCUCCGUGUGGAUAUAUAUUUAAUCAUAUAUUGCUUAUACACUAGAUAAAUUCUGAAUAUUUAUAUAAAACUAAAAAAUUCAAAUAGCACUUUCCGACUAUCUUAAAUUAUUACAAAUCAUAUCAAAACUUGGUUUGGUGCAGUCCUAAAUUGCUACCAAUUUUUUCAGGCUUAGCAAAGAAAGUUGGAAUUCAUUGAGCUGCCCCCUUUGUUUCUUGGAGAAAUUUAUGUUUCUUCCGCUGCUUCUUUUCUGAAGAGGGUGUCUAUAUAUUGUAAUUUUCUAUUUCCGUUUUUUAACCCUUCAGUGCCCAAUAAUCUUUAUCUAUAAUCCUCCAUGACCUCUGCACAUGUAGUUUGGCAUAAACUUA